CUCAGGAUGAACGCUAGCGACAGGCUUAACACAUGCAAGUCGAGGGGCAGCGGUGGUGAAGGCUUGCCUUUACCAGCCGGCGACCGGCGCACGGGUGAGUAACACGUAUGCAACCUGCCUGCCACAGCCGGAUAAUCGGGAGAAAUUCCGUCUAAUACGGCAUAAUGCAUCGACGGGACAUCCUGUUGGUGCCAAAGGUUGAUUCCGGUGGCGGAUGGGCAUGCGUCGCAUUAGUUAGUUGGCGGUGUAACGGACCACCAAGACGACGAUGCGUAGGGGUUCUGAGAGGAAGGUCCCCCACACUGGUACUGAGACACGGACCAGACUCCUACGGGAGGCAGCAGUGAGGAAUAUUGGUCAAUGGGCGGGAGCCUGAACCAGCCAAGUCGCGUGAGGGAUGACGGCCCUAUGGGUUGUAAACCUCUUUUGCCGGGGAGCAAAGUGCCGCACGUGUGCGGUUUGGAGAGUACCCGGAGAAAAAGCAUCGGCUAACUCCGUGCCAGCAGCCGCGGUAAUACGGAGGAUGCGAGCGUUAUCCGGAUUUAUUGGGUUUAAAGGGUGCGUAGGCGGACGCUUAAGUCAGCGGUAAAAUUGCGGGGCUCAACCUCGUCGAGCCGUUGAAACUGGGUGCCUUGAGUGGGCGAGAAGUACGCGGAAUGCGUGGUGUAGCGGUGAAAUGCAUAGAUAUCACGCAGAACUCCGAUUGCGAAGGCAGCGUACCGGCGCCCAACUGACGCUGAAGCACGAAGGCGUGGGUAUCGAACAGGAUUAGAUACCCUGGUAGUCCACGCAGUAAACGAUGAAUGCUAGUUGUCCGGGGCGAUUGAGUUCUGGGUGACACAGCGAAAGCGUUAAGCAUUCCACCUGGGGAGUACGCCGGCAACGGUGAAACUCAAAGGAAUUGACGGGGGCCCGCACAAGCGGAGGAACAUGUGGUUUAAUUCGAUGAUACGCGAGGAACCUUACCCGGGCUCAAACGCAGGAGAGAUGUUUUUGAAAGGAGGCAGCCAGCAAUGGUCUCCUGUGAGGUGCUGCAUGGUUGUCGUCAGCUCGUGCCGUGAGGUGUCGGCUUAAGUGCCAUAACGAGCGCAACCCCUACCUACAGUUGCCAUCGCGUGAUGGCGGGCACUCUGUGGGGACUGCCUGCGCAAGCAGUGAGGAAGGCGGGGAUGACGUCAAAUCAGCACGGCCCUUACGUCCGGGGCGACACACGUGUUACAAUGGCAGGUACAGCGGGAAGCCACCCGGCGACGGGGCGCGGAACCCGAAAACCUGUCUCAGUUCGGAUUGGAGUCUGCAACCCGACUCCAUGAAGCUGGAUUCGCUAGUAAUCGCGCAUCAGCCACGGCGCGGUGAAUACGUUCCCGGGCCUUGUACACACCGCCCGUCAAGCCAUGGAAGCCGGGGGUGCCUGAAGUGCGUGACCGCAAGGAGCGCCCUAGGGUAGAACCGGUGACUGGGGCUAAGUCGUAACAAGGUA
rnacentral:rRNA from 1 species